CUAACAUGUGUGCGAGUCAAUGGGUCUCGAAUAAGCCCAGAGGCGCAAUGAAAGCAAAGGUCGGGACUGAUCCCGACCGUGUUGGGAUCCCUCCGCCUACGAGCGGGGGGCGCACCAACGACCCGUCCCAUCCGAUUUAUCGGUAGGGCGGAGUCCGAGCAUACACGUUGGGACCCGAAAGAUGGUGAACUAUGCCCGGGCAGAACGAGGCCAGAGGAAACUCUGGUGGAGGUUCGUAGCGGUUCUGACGUGCAAAUCGAUCGUCAGAUCCGGGUCUAGGGGCGAAAGACUAAUCGAACCAUCUA
rnacentral:rRNA from 1 species